GUGCUGACACAAACACCCCCCCCCCCAGAAGUUAAGAAAUUGUUGCCUUACCCCUCAGAAAAAAUGCAAAGAUCAAAGGAUGCCGAUGCACACAACCCCUCAGAAAUGGCUUUUUCAAACCCCCUCAGAAAUUAAAUAAAUAGAAUGGCCCCUUAAUUACCAACCCUGUCUGAAAUCUCUCCCCCCUUUCCUUUCUCUGUUGGCACCAGUAACAUAUAUUCCUCACCACUUAUGCCUAAUUUGAUGCAUUAUAUAAUUACAAUGUUUUAUAAAUUUGUUAAUAGAGCUUUUAAACUGGCCUGACUGGAAAGUCUGACUGCCGUGCGAUACAAACUUUCCCCACUUGUAAACUGGCAUCAGAGAAAAUCCUUGCCCUAAUCAUAAAUCAACAAUCUCAAUAUUGAACCAUUAGACAUUGUACAUAUGGACGAGAAGGAAAGAAAACAUUCACCUUGCAUAAUUGUCCACGGAGGUGCAGGGUCAAUACCUGACCAUUUUCUUGAAACGUAUUAUGCCGGGAUACAAGAGGCAGUGAAGGCAGGUUAUGAGGUCCUAAAGAAUGUAAGUAUAAAUUUCUAGUGCAUACCUAGUAACGUACUUUUAAUUUCUAGUACAUACCUAAGUACCUUACUUUUGCCCUUACUUCUCCAGAACU